GAUGAAGAACGUAGUGAAAUGCGAUAAGUAAUGUGAAUUGCAGAAUUCAGUGAAUCAUCGAAUCUUUGAACGCACAUUGCGCCCGCCAGUAUUCUGGCGGGCAUGCCUGUUCGAGCGUCAUUUCAACCAUCAAGCCCCCGGCUUGUGUUGGGGACCUGCAGCUGCCGCAGGCCCUGAAAAGCAGUGGCGGGCUCGCUGUCACACCGAGCGUAGUAGCAUACAUCUCGCUCUGGGCGUGCUGCGGGUUCCGGCCGUUAAACCACCUUCAUAACCCAAGGUUGACCUCGGAUCAGGUAGGAAGACCCGCUGAACUUAAGCAUAUCAAUAAGCGGAGGA
rnacentral:misc_RNA from 1 species